AGACAUUGCACAUGUAAGUAAGGAGUAGAGUUUAGGAAGAUCAAACGCAAAGAUGAACAUGGUGAUUUUUGGCGCGGUUCCGAUAGGUGUCGCUAUCAUACGUUCACAUUAGUGGAGACUUCAACCCACGAAGGGUAACAACUGCGGGAGUCCACGGAGGGCUCCAACCAUCAGGGGUCCAUGAAGAAGCAGCCUUGUCUAUUCCACCAUGGCUUACAUCCACACACGACUAGCCUCACUCACGGUAGAUCUUCACGAAGUAGGCGAUCACCUUCCCAUACAAACUUCUUGGUUCAACUCCACAACACGAAGUAGGAGGCUCCCAAGCGACACCUAAUCAAUCUAGGAGGCACCACCCUCCAAAUGAUAAUAGAUGUAGUAGAACGAUGAACUCCUUGUUCUUGUGCUUCAAAAGAUAGUCUCCUCAACACUCAAUCACUCUCUCAUAGAUUUGACAUGGGUAGGAGAGAUUGAUUUUGUGGAAAGAAACUUGGGGGCGCUAGAGAUAAAAUUUCAAAUGUAUGGAUUGGAAUCUCUCGAUCUCAACACAUGAGUAGGUGGCCCUCUCUCUCAAAAAUGGAUCUGGCAAGUGUGUGUGUGUGUUCUGAGUGCUUCCUCUACGAAUGAGAGGAGGUGGAGGUAUAUAUAGGCAUCCCCCAAAAUCCAACCGUUACAACAUUAUUGCCCAACUCGAUGACACCGAAAUGAAUCUCGAUGGUGCCGAGUUGCACUAAAUGUGGCAACUUUUGGAUUCUCGGUGGGACCGAUAUAUGAAUCUCUGUGGUACCGAUACGACGGCCUAGGGCAGUUUCCAAAUCUUGAUGGUACCGAUUUCAAUCUCGGAAAUUCCGAUUCUUGAAAUUGAGAUACCGCAGAGUUGGUCACUGACUUUCGGUGGCAACGAUAUGAAACUUCAUGGUACCGAGAGAUUAGGGUUUGGCAAAGGAUCUGUCAGUGGGAAAAUGGGUAGAGUCGAAUGGGAAAACUUGGUGGCACCAAUUUUUCUUUUUUGGCUUGGGACAGAGAUUUUUG
rnacentral:lncRNA from 1 species